GAAGCGUCGCCGGGGCCGGGCUAGCGGGUGGUUCCCGAAACCGCAGUGCUCCGCAGGGCUUUGAGGUGGGUAGUGGGCGGGCAGUCCCCGGCGCUUCCCUGGGCGAGACACGCCUUGCUGGCCCGGUUUCUCGCAUUUUAUUUAGUUUUUAAGCUGGAGUCUAGUAGCUCCGACUGGCCUCACGCUCCUGAUCGUUCUUGAUUGGAGUGCUGGGGUGACCGGAGUGCCACAGCACUCUUGAGCGUUUUUCAGGGUGCGGUCGGAAGCACAGAGUGCGCCAGCUGCAGCGUGAUAAGGUCAGUAAGCUCUCAGGUGGCAAGGACAGGAGGCUAGCCGGGAGUUAGAGGCUGUGACGUCCCCAUGCCUGCACGGCUCUCCCCACAUUCGCCUAUCUCGGCCAGUCGCCCCUUCUCUGUUACUCCAGCGGAUGCGGCAGUUUGUAAGGUCUUCUGCUCACAGCUGUCUGCGGCAGAAAGAGGAUUCCUCAAGACAACCGCCACACGACAGUUGAACAUCUGCAUUUGAAUGUGAAACUGCCCCGGUUCUUGUGCUUGAGCCGGUGGCUCCCAGUCGCCCGUGCUAUUUUAGGAAAAUACAGAACCUUUAGGACUGUUAAGAGCCUUGACCCAAGUAGAUCAGUCAGAAGGUGACAGCUGUUUCCACCACAAAGACCCAAUUAAACCCCCUCUGGUUCCUCUCUCUUAAUUUUCUCCCGCAUGUAUAUCUUUGAACCAAGUGCAUGCAGAGGCCAGGAGAGGGCAUGGGAUGCCCUGGAACUGUUAGAUGGUUGUGGUCCUCUGUGUGGAAGGAGGGUAAAAAGCCGAACCGGUGAUCUUAACCCCUGAGCCACUGCACCCUCCUGAACUCGAGAGAGCUCCAAAAUCCAAGCAGUCAGUCACUGUGUCGGUACUGAACCCAGGGCCUUCUGCAUGCUAAGCCCAGGCUAGACCAUUGGCUGGACCCCAAUCCUAAACCUACAGCCUUUCUGAGUGCCCAUGUGAGGCUGCAAGUGGCAAGUUAUACAGUGUGAAACACUGCAAGAACUUUGUUGUUAUUCAAGACAUGCUGCUGCUGCUGCUGCUGCCCUGACUGUCCUGGAACUCUGUGGACCAGGCUGUCCUCCAACUCACAGAGACCUGCCUGCCUCUCCUUCCCAAGUGCUGGGAUUAAAGGCAUGUGCCUUUGAACACAUUUUAAAACCUUUUAUCGUUUGUGAAUUUAACAUCAUGCCCCCUAACCUCUCUCACCGCCCCCCUUCAGCUCAUAACUUCCCACACCCUUGUCACCCUCCCAGUAGAGAAAAUGCUCAUGGAAGCUGUAGUGUGUCAGUGUGUCCCACAGUAUAACCUGAUGUUCACACUUC
rnacentral:lncRNA from 1 species